GGAUAGCUCAGUUGGUUAGAGCAUGGUGCUGAUACCCCAAGGUUGCAGGUUCGAUCCCUGUAAGAAACA